UCGGAUUGAUACUAAGCCAUGCGAGUCUUUGUAGCAAUACAAGGCAGACGGCUCAGUAACACGUAGUCAAUCUAACCUAUGGACAGGGAUAACCUCGGGAAACUGAGAAUAAUACCUGAUAGAUCAAUAUGCCUGGAAUGGUUUUUGGUCCAAAUGAAUUUCGCCAUAGGGUGGGACUGCGGUCUAUCAGCUUGUUGGUGAGGUAAUGGCCCACCAAGGCUAUAACAGAUACGGGCUCUGAGAGGAGAAGCCCGGAGAUGGGUACUGAGACACGGACCCAGGCCCUAUGGGGCGCAGCAGGCGAGAAAACUUUGCAAUGUGCGAAAGCACGACAAGGUUAAUCCGAGUGGUUCCUGCUAAAGGAAUCUUUUGUUAGUCAUAAUACCACUGAUGAAUAAGGGGUGGGCAAGUUCUGGUGUCAGCCGCCGCGGUAAAACCAGCACCUCAAGUGGUCAGGAGGAUUAUUGGGCCUAAAGCAUCCGUAGCCGGCUGUGUUAGUUUUCGGUUAAAUCCAUAUGCUCAACAUAUGGGCUGCCGGGAAUACUACACAGCUAGGGAGUGGGAGAGGUAGACGGUACUCCGUAGGAAGGGGUAAAAUCCUUUGAUCUAUGGAUGACCACUUGGUGGCGAAGGCGGUCUACCAGAACACGUCCGACGGUGAGGGGAUGAAAGCCUGGGGGAGCAAACCGGAUUAGAUACCCCGGGUAGUCCCAGCUGUAAACAAUGCAAACUCAGUGAUGCCAUUGGGUUGUGGCCAUGAAUGCCCGCAGGGAAUCCCCCGUAAUUUGCGCCCCUGGGGAGGUACGUACGCAAGUUGAAACUUAAAGGAAAUUGGGGGCGGGGGAGCA
rnacentral:rRNA from 1 species